UACGUAGGGGGCAAGCGUUGUCCGGAUUUAUUGGGCGUAAAGAGCGUGUAGGCGGCCAUACAGGUCCGUUGUGAAAACUGGAGGCCUAACCUCCAGACGUCGAUGGAAACCGUAUGGCUAGAGUCCGGAAGAGGAGAGUGGAAUUCCUGGUGUAGCGGUGAAAUGCGCAGAUAUCAGGAAGAACACCCGUGGCGAAGGCGGCCCUCUGGGACGGUACUGACGCUGAGACGCGAAAGCGUGGGGAGCGAACAGG
rnacentral:rRNA from 1 species